CUUCAACCACAAUUGAAGCAACAACUUCAACCACAAAUGAACCAACAACAACUACAAUCGAAAUAACAACCACAAUUGAGGCAAUAAUUUCAACCACAAAUGAACCAACAACCACAACCGAGGCAACAACAACCACAAUUGAGCCAACUACUUCAACCACAAAUGAACCAACAACUACAACCGAGGCAACAACAACAAUGGCACCAACAACCUCAAGUGAGCCUAAAUCAGCAGCCAUUGUUCAGUUCCGUACCGAUGAUACAUUUAUUUCUGAACUUUUGAAUUCCUCUUCGGUUGCCUUCAGAGAAAGAUCCUCACUUAUCAAAACAGAGCUAGAGCCAUUUUUCUUUGAAGACUACAAGCCAUAUUUCAUCAGCCUAACACCAACA